GUUCUGUGGUAGGAGAGCUGUUUCCAGGAAAGAAGAAGAGGAGAAGGAGGAAGAUGUUUGGUUUGCUGAGCAGCCCAUUCUUCCCCAUGGUGCAGAGCAGGUUGUGGUACUAUCAUGUUGAAAUGGAGCAAGACACCAGGAAUCCUUGUCUGCAAUCUUAAGCAAUUUUGAAACCAUUGUCACCAAAGGUAAAUAAUCUCAAGAAAGACACCUGUUACUUACUAUGUCCCUGUUCUGCCUUUUCAAGGACUGUAACACAAUGUUCAGCUCUUAAAGCCAAACCAAAACAAUAAAUUUAACUUCAACCUUUGACUUCCAGUAAGAGGCAUGUGUUAAAAGAAAAAAGCUGAGGAAACAGUUCUUUGUAACAGUGGUAUUGUG